CGAACGCUGGUCGCGUGCUUAAAGAUGCAAGUCGAACGAUGAAGCCCUUCGGGGUGGAUUAGUGGUCGACCGGGUGAGUAACACGUGGGCAAUCUGCCCUGCACUCUGGGACAAGCCCUGGAAACGGGGUCUAAUACCGGAUAUGAUCACCGGCCGCAUGGUCUGGUGAUGGAAAGCUCCGGCGGUGCAGGAUGAGCCCGCGGCCUAUCAGCUUGUUGGUGGGGUGAUGGCCUACCAAGGCGACGACGGGUAGCUGGUCUGAGAGGACGAUCAGCCACACUGGGACUGAGACACGGCCCAGACUCCUACGGGAGGCAGCAGUGGG
rnacentral:rRNA from 1 species